AACGAACGCUGGCGGCAGGCCUAACACAUGCAAGUCGAGCGCCCCGCAAGGGGAGCGGCGGACGGGUUAGUAACGCGUGGGAAUGUACCCUUUUCUACGGAAUAGCCUCGGGAAACUGAGAUUAAUACCGUAUACGCCCGGUAACGGGGAAAGAUUUAUCGGAGAAGGAUCAGCCCGCGUAAGAUUAGAUAGUUGGUGGGGUAAUGGCCUACCAAGUCUACGAUCUAUAGCUGGUUUUAGAGGAUGAUCAGCAACACUGGGACUGAGACACGGCCCAGACUCCUACGGGAGGCAGCAGUGGGGAAUCUUAGACAAUGGGCGCAAGCCUGAUCUAGCCAUGCCGCGUGUGUGAUGAAGGUCUUAGGAUCGUAAAGCACUUUCGCCAGGGAUGAUAAUGACAGUACCUGGUAAAGAAACCCCGGCUAACUCCGUG
rnacentral:rRNA from 1 species